rnacentral:rRNA from 1 species
UACAGAGGUCUCAAGCGUUUGUUCGGAUUCAUUGGGCGUAAAGGGUGCGUAGGCGGCGCGGUAAGUCGGGUGUGAAAUCUCGGAGCUUAACUCCGAAACUGCAUUCGAUACUGCCGUGCUUGAGGACUGGAGAGGAGACUGGAAUUUACGGUGUAGCGGUGAAAAUGCGUAGAUAUCGUAAGGAAGACCAGUGGCGAAGGCGGGUCUCUGGACAGUUCCUGACGCUGAGGCACGAAGGUCAGGGGGAGCAAAACGGG